rnacentral:snRNA from 1 species
GGAAGUGAGGGCAAUCUGGCUGCGAUAUCUGUCACCCCAUUGAUCUCCAGGGUUGAUUCAGCUGAUCUGGCUGGCUAGGCGGGUGUCCCCUUCCUCCCUCACCGCUCCAUGUGCAUCCCUUCCGAAGCUGCACGCUUGGUCGAAGAGGACGACCUUCCCUGAAUAGAGGAGGACGGUCAAGGGUAUACAAGUAGCUGCGCUCCCCUGCUAGAACCUCCAAACAAGCUCUCAAGAAAUCAUUUUGUAAAAACCCAAGGUCUUCAAGAUCUACAAACUUUUUUUUGAGACAGAGUUUCU